rnacentral:rRNA from 1 species
UACAGAGGGUGCAAGCGUUGUUCGGAAUCACUGGGCGUAAAGCGCGCGCAGGCGGUCGUGCAAGUCGGGAGUGAAAUCUCGCCGCUCAACGACGAGGCUGCUUCGGAUACUACCCAUCUAGGGACCGGUAGAGGCUGGUAGAAUUGCAGGUGUAGCGGUGGAAUGCGUAGAGAUCUGCAAGAAUACCCGUGGCGAAGGCGGCCAGCUGGGCCGGGUCCGACGCUAAGGCGCGAAA